rnacentral:lncRNA from 1 species
GGCAUACACGUAUUCCAUUAAAAAUCUCGAACAAAGCACACAUAUAACGUAUUGGCGGUAAUCGGGAGGUGCAACCCUAAACGGGUUACAAGGGGGUUUGCAAUGCUUUGAGAUCAUAUGCACCACGUCCAACCCCUCCUCAAUAUCAGAGCCAUUAGAUCUCAAUACACUAGACGAGACUAUGACAGAACUAAAGGUAACUGGAGGGCAAAGCCAGAACACCGACCCUGUAGACCCUGAUGCAACGAAAUGAAAUGAAAGUUCAAAACAAAACAUCCAAAAACGACUGAAAUUAAGAAAACUAAAUAUUCUGGGUAGGCUUGCUACUCAUCCAUGGGGUGGAGAUUGUUGCUGGAGCGAGAGGCUACUCUGUAACCCCCAAUGAUGCUUUAUGUCGAUGGGUGGUUCACACUAAUGUGCCCCGCCUGGUUGACAUGUAUACUGCUAAAGCCAUCUUUCUUCGGAAAUUUGGAGGGUUUCAGGCCCUGAAGCACAGCCACCAUGCUUUCCUUGGAGGCCUCUUCCCGAUGUCGUUUAAGAUCCACCGUUAUAUCCACCAUAUCUUCAUCUUCAUCCAAGGUUUCCGUGGUGAUGCUUGACGAUCCAAGGCGGGAGUUAAUGACCAGGGCCAAGUUCGCCUCCUUUCCGGUUAUUUGUCAGGGUACGACUUCUGCGUGGGCCCUGUUUGUUUAGCAACGCUGGUCUUGCUCAGGGUUUUGUCUUGCAUAUAUUUGGCCGCUGUGGCAUCCAAUGCAUUCCUUGGUUUCACCCGGAUGGAGUCAUCCCAUUUGCGCGUCAUCUGAUCUGGUGGAAUCUGGAAUAAGAGUUCACAAUAUUUGUCCGUAUGACCUAGGAUUCCACAAAUAUAGCAGAACUUGUCUAACCUUUCAUAUUGAAAUUGGCAUUUGACUCUAGCAUCUCCAUGUAGGCAGACAAGCUUACCAUGCCGUAAGGUUUCUGAGUGUCGAGCUAUACAUGGACGCACAUAUAGUGCCCUUCACCCUCCUGAUCGUCAUUGGUCGGGUCAUAAGCCAGAAAAGUUCCCGCAUAAUCGCCUAGCACCUUUCCUACAAC